ACCAGCAGCGAUAGCUCCUUGAAAGCACCAGUUCUGCAUGGAUCACUGAAGUUGAGCACGGUUGCGCGUGGUUAGUACCUGGAUGGGUGACCAUCUGGCCAACAGCGUGCUGCUAGCU
rnacentral:rRNA from 1 species